rnacentral:rRNA from 1 species
GACGAACGCUGGCGGCGUGCUUAACACAUGCAAGUCGAGCGAGCGGCGGACGGGUGAGUAAUGUAUGGGGACUGCCCGAUAGAGGGGGAUAACUACUGGAAACGGUGGCUAAUACCGCAUACUGUCUGCUACACCAUAUGGGAUUAGCUAGUUGGUAAGGUAAAGGCUUACCUAGUCGACGAUCCCUGGCUGGUGUGAGAGGAUGAUCAGCCACACUGGGACUGAGACACGGCCCAGACUCCUACGGAGGCAGCAGUGGGGAAGAUUGCACAAUGGGCUCAAGCCUGAUACAGCCAUGCCGCGUGUAUGAAGAAGGCCCUAGGGUUGUAAAGUACUGUCAGUCGGGAGGCGUUACCGACAGAAGAAGCACCGGCUAACUCCGUGCCAGCCGCCGCGGUAAUAC